GGAUAAGGUGAUAGCAAUCUGGCUGUGGCAUCUAUCACCCCAUUGAUCACCAGGGUUGACUUGGCUGAUCUGGCUGGCCAGGCAGGUGUCCCCUUCCUCCCUCACCACUCCACGUGUGUCCCUCCCAAAGCUGCACUCUUGGUCAAAGAGGAUGACCUUCUCCAACUGAGGAAGACUAUUCCUCAGUCAAGUGUAUAGUAUAUCUUUUCUAUCUUUUUACUUUCAACUUAUUUGACUCUUUGAAUCUAAAGGAUGUGUCUUAUA
rnacentral:snRNA from 1 species